AUUGAACGCUGGCGGCAGGCUUAACACAUGCAAGUCGAGCGGGGUGAUGGUGCUUGCACUAUCACUUAGCGGCGGACGGGUGAGUAAUGCUUAGGAAUCUGCCUAUUAGUGGGGGACAACAUCUCGAAAGGGAUGCUAAUACCGCAUACGUCCUACGGGAGAAAGCAGGGGAUCACUUGUGACCUUGCGCUAAUAGAUGAGCCUAAGUCGGAUUAGCUAGUUGGUGGGGUAAAGGCCUACCAAGGCGACGAUCUGUAGCGGGUCUGAGAGGAUGAUCCGCCACACUGGGACUGAGACACGGGCCAGACUCCUACGGGAGGCAGCAGUGGGGAAUAUUGGACAAUGGGGGGAACCCUGAUCCAGCCAUGCCGCGUGUGUGAAGAUGGCCUUAUGGUUGUAAAGCACUUUAAGCGAGGAGGAGGCUCUUUUGGUUAAUACCCAAGAUGAGUGGACGUUACUCGCAGAAUAAGCACCGGCUAACUCUGUGCCAGCAGCCGCAGUAA
rnacentral:rRNA from 1 species